rnacentral:tRNA from 1 species
GGAGAUAUAGCUCCGUGGUAGAGCACUUGCCUAGCAUGUGGGAAGCUAUAGGUUCAAUCCCUUGUACCACCA